rnacentral:rRNA from 1 species
UACAGAGGGGGCAAGCGUUGUUCGGAAUUACUGGGCGUAAAGGGCGCGUAGGCGGCCAACUAAGUCGGACGUGAAAUCCCCGGGCUCAACCCGGGAACUGCGUCCGAUACUGGAUGGCUUGAAUCCGGGAGAGGGAUGUGGAAUUCCAGGUGUAGCGGUGAAAUGCGUAGAUAUCUGGAGGAACACCGGUGGCGAAGGCGGCAUCCUGGACCGGCAUUGACGCUGAUGAGCGAAAGCCAGGGGAGCAAACGGG